AGAGUUCGAUCCUGGCUCAGAACGAACGCUGGCGGCGCGUCUUAAGCAUGCAAGUCGAGCGGGAGGGGCAGCGAUGCCCCGAGAGCGGCGGACGGGUGAGUAACGCGUGGACAACCGACCCUCCGGUGGGGGAUAGCCGAGCGAAAGCGCGGAUAAUACCGCAUGAGACGGAGCGGGGGCGGCCCUGUUCCGGGAAAGCGCCUGCGGGCGCGCCGGGGGACGGGUCUGCGUCCCAUCAGCUAGACGGCGGGGUGAAGGCCCACCGUGGCGACGACGGGUAGCCGGCCUGAGAGGGUGGACGGCCACAUUGGGACUGGGAACGGCCCAGACUCCUACGGGAGGCAGCAGCUAAGGAUCUUCCGCAAUGGGCGAAAGCCUGACGGAGCGACGCCGCGUGGACGAUGGAGGCCGGAAGGUUGUGAAGUCCUUUUCUCGGGGGGGAACAACCGUGCCAGGGAAUGGGCGCGGGGUGACGCGGACCGAGGAAUAAGCCCCGGCAAACUACGUGCCAGCAGCCGCGGUAACACGUAGGGGGCGAGCGUUGUUCGGAUUCAUUGGGCGUAAAGGGCGCGCGGGCGGCCGGGCGAGCCUGCCGUGAAAUCCCCGUGCUCAACACGGGGGGGUCGGCGGGGACUGUCCGGCUGGAGUACCGGAAGCGGCGGCGGAAUUCCUGGUGUAGGGGUGAAAUCUGUAGAUAUCAGGAAGAACACCGAUGGCGAAGGCGGCCGCCGGGCCGGAUACUGACGCUGAGGCGCGAAGGUGCGGGGAGCGAACAGGUUUAGAUACCCUGGUAGUCCGCACAGUAAACGAUGUGCACCGGGUGGCGGGCGGGAACGCUCGGCACCGAAGCGAACGCAGCAAGUGCACCGCCUGGGGAGUAUGCCCGCAAGGGUGAAACUCAAAGGAAUUGACGGGGGCCCGCACAAGCGGUGGAGCAUGUGGUUUAAUUCGAU
rnacentral:rRNA from 1 species